rnacentral:rRNA from 1 species
UACGAAGGGGGCUAGCGUUGUUCGGAAUUACUGGGCGUAAAGCGCACGUAGGCGGAUAUUUAAGUCAGGGGUGAAAUCCCGGGGCUCAACCCCGGAACUGCCUUUGAUACUGGGUAUCUCGAGUCCGAGAGAGGUGAGUGGAAUUCCGAGUGUAGAGGUGAAAUUCGUAGAUAUUCGGAGGAACACCAGUGGCGAAGGCGGCUCACUGGCUCGGUACUGACGCUGAGGAGCGAAAGCGUGGGGAGCAAACAGG